GAUGAACGCUGGCGGCGUGCCUAAUACAUGCAAGUCGAGCGAACGGACGAGAAGCUUGCUUCUCUGAUGUUAGCGGCGGACGGGUGAGUAACACGUGGAUAACCUACUUAUAAGACUGGGAUAACUUCGGGAAACCGGAGCUAAUACCGGAUAAUAUUUUGAACCGCAUGGUUCAAAAGUGAAAGACGGCCUUGCUGUCUCUAAUCGAUGGUUCCGCGCUGCAUUAGCUAGUUGGUAAGGUAACGGCUUACCAAGGCAACGAUGCAUAGCCGACCUGAGAGGGGGAUCGGCCACACUGGAACUGAGACACGGUCCAGACUCCUACGGGAGGCAGCAGUAGGGAAUCUUCCGCAAUGGGCGAAAGCCUGACGGAGCAACGCCGCGUGAGUGAUGAAGGUCUUCGGAUCGUAAAACUCUGUUAUGAGGGAAGAACAUAUGUGUAAGUAACUGUGCACAGCUUGACGGUACCUAAUCAGAAAGCAACGGCUAACUACGUG
rnacentral:rRNA from 1 species